rnacentral:rRNA from 1 species
GACGAACGCUGGCGGCGUGCUUAACACAUGCAAGUCGAACGGAAAGGCCCUGCUUUUGUGGGGUGCUCGAGUGGCGAACGGGUGAGUAACACGUGAGUAACCUGCCCUUGACUUUGGGAUAACUUCAGGAAACUGGGGCUAAUACCGGAUAGGAGCUCCUGCUGCAUGGUGGGGGUUGGAAAGUUUCGGCGGUUGGGGAUGGACUCGCGGCUUAUCAGCUUGUUGGUGGGGUAGUGGCUUACCAAGGCUUUGACGGGUAGCCGGCCUGUGAGGGUGACCGGCCACAUUGGAACUGAGCUACGGCCCAGACUCCUACGGGAGGCAGCAGUGGGGAAUAUUGCACAAUGGGCGGAAGCCUGAUGCAGCAACGCCGCGUGCGGGAUGCCGGCCUUCGGGUUGUAAACCGCUUUCGCCUGUGACGAAGCGUGAGUGACGGUAAUGGGUAAAGAAGCACCGGCUAACUACGUG